rfam:Parcubacteria bacterium GW2011_GWC2_49_9 TY52_C0012, whole genome shotgun sequence.
GCGCCCGUAGCUCAAUGGAUAGAGUACAUGGCUUCGGACCAUGGGGUUGGGGGUUCGACUCCCUCCGGGCGCA